AUCAAAGAAAUCGCAGCUAAGAUGUCGUAAGAUUUGUGCUGAAAGCUACGACUGGGUAAGACCACUCUUAGCGUUCGUAAAUUGUACUAAACAUGGCCGCCGCACGUGCUUUAGACGAUGGUUAACCAAGAGAGAUGAGACCACUCUUAGCGUUCUUAUUAUGGCGGCCAUAGGAGCGUUAGACGUCGCACGACCGAGAGAAAGGAGGCUGUUUCGACAAAGAAAGGGGUUCAGUGAUCUUAGAGACGCUGAAAUAUUGAGUCGCUAUCGAUUAGAUCGACAAUCCAUUUAUCGGCUUGUCGAUUUGUUAAGGGACGAUCUACAAAAACCGACGAGAAGAUCGAAGUCCAUACCUGUCCUAACGCAGGUGCUUGUGAGUCUAAGGUACUUGGCGAAAGGUGAUUUUCUGUCUGAGGUUGCUGACCUUCAUGGAAUUAGCAGGUCCAGUGCAUGCAAUAUUAUUGCAGCCUUUGUUGAUGCUGUUAAUUUAAGAAUUGAUAAUGUAAAGUAAGC